rnacentral:rRNA from 1 species
UACGGGGGGAGCAAGCGUUGUUCGGAUUUACUGGGCGUAAAGGGCGCGUAGGCGGCCUCUGCAAGUCGACUGUGAAAUCUCCGGGCUUAACCCGGAAAGGUCAGCCGAUACUGCAGGGCUAGAGUGCAGAAGGGGCAACUGGAAUUCUCGGUGUAGCGGUGAAAUGCGUAGAUAUCGUAAGGAAGACCAGUGGCGAAGGCGGGUCUCUGGACAGUUCCUGACGCUGAGGCACGAAGGUCAGGGGAGCAAACGGG